rnacentral:misc_RNA from 1 species
AAUUUUCCUACUUUGGGACGCAAUAGGGAUGGCAGCGGCAUCCUUGGGAGCGAAGCGAGGCGUCGGAGCGUAGCGGAGACGACCGAGCGAAGCGCUCCAAGAUACAGCGAACAGCCCGACCGCUA